rnacentral:lncRNA from 1 species
UCACUUUUUAUUCUUCAAACAUUUUAACAACAAUAACAAGCAAUCAAUAUUUAAACAAUGACAACAUUAAAUAAAACCAUUAUUUUGUCAAAGCAAAUAGACGAAGCAUUAUGAAGGCAAGGCGCUACAUAUAUUUCUUUGUGGCAUAUAAGCAUAUCAUAUUUACACUGCAGCAGUUUAAAGAGAACUAAAUUACGAGGUUUGACAAAUUUAACGAUCGCUUUGAUAGUCCCAUAAAUAUAUUUUAUUGAUCUAUUAAAUUGUUCAUAUAAGGACAACUGAAAGAAUUGCAUGUCAGUAGGCCUGAAUACAAUAGUAUUUUUACUUGCAUAGAUUUUUCAUGAUGAAAUUGUGUUGUUUAAUAUAUAAGUACUUCAAAUUUUAAAUUUUGAUUGCAAUUUUCUCUUGAAUAGUAUUUGAUUGAUACGUGAUAUUGAGAUCUAAAGUUUUUGUACAUGUAAAUGAACACAAAGAUUUUUAGAAAUCAACUGUUCCUAUUCUGAAAAACUGAAAGGACAGCAUAUGUUUCCUCCUUGCCAUCAGGAGAUAUGACGAUUUGUUCUCCCUCGAAUAUUUCAUAUUUGAUGACUUUUCGAUGGUGCGCAAAUCUUCAUAUCUCCCUACAGCUAACUCAAGAGAAUGAUUUUUUUU